rnacentral:rRNA from 1 species
GAUGAACGCUGGCGGCGUGCCUAAUACAUGCAAGUCGAGCGAACAGACGAGGAGCUUGCUCCUCUGACGUUAGCGGCGGACGGGUGAGUAACACGUGGAUAACCUACCUAUAAGACUGGGAUAACUUCGGGAAACCGGAGCUAAUACCGGAUAAUAUAUUGAACCGCAUGGUUCAAUAGUGAAAGACGGUUUUGCCGUCACUUAUAGAUGGAUCCGCGCCGCAUUAGCUAGUUGGUAAGGUAACGGCUUACCAAGGCAACGAUGCGUAGCCGACCUGAGAGGGUGAUGCGCCAAACUGGAACUGAGCCACGGACCAGACUCCUACGGGAAGCAGCAGUAGGGAAUCUUCCGCAAUGGGCGAAAGCCUGACGGAGCAACGCCGCGUGAGUGAUGAAGGUCUUCGGAUCGUAAAACUCUGUUAUUAGGGAAGAACAAAUGUGUAAGUAACUAUGCACGUCUUGACGGUACCUAAUCAGAAAGCCACGGCUAACUACGUG